AAUCAACGCUGGCGGCGUGCCUCAGACAUGCAAGUCGAACGUGAAAGUUCCUUCGGGAAUGAGUAAAGUGGCGCACGGGUGAGUAACACGUGGGUAAUUUGCCUUCGGGUGGGGAAUACCAACCGGAAACGGUUGUUAAUACCGCAUGAUGCAGCGGCUCGACAUCGAGACAGUUGUUAAAGCGGGGGAGCGGAGCAAUCCGUCCUCGCGCCUGAAGAGAAGCCCGCGGCGGAUUAGGAGUUGGUGAGGUAAUGGCUCACCAAGCCCGCCGAUCCGUAACCGACCUGAGAGGGUGGUCGGUCACACUGACACUGACAUACGGGUCAGACUCCUACGGGAGGCAGCAGUCGGGAAUUUUGGGCAAUGGUCGCAAGCCUGACCCAGCAACGCCGCGUGAAGGAUGAAGCAUUUCGGUGUGUAAACUUCGCAAGAAUGGGAAGAAUAAGUUUGAAUAAAUAAUUCAAACGAUGACGGUACUAUUUGUAAGCUCCGGCUAACUUCGUGCCAGCCGCCGC
rnacentral:rRNA from 1 species